rnacentral:lncRNA from 1 species
GUGCUGCAAGCACAAAAGCAAGAAGUAGCUGCCUCUUAACAAAAGCUAGCGACGGCUAGCUUGAACUCUCAACAUCGGCAACAGACAAAAGCGCCGGCAAUAAAUAGCGCAUUAAACUAAGUUGCCUGAUUUGCAUAGCUGUACCAACAAGGCUGGUGUGCAGGUAACCUUACCAACUGCCCUUGUCAGGUUCUCAGCUAAUAAGUGGAAAAUCUGGAGAGGGCGGUUGCACGAUGACCUUUAUCACCUCCAUUACUCCUGUUACCACCGUAAAAGGUCUGGGCCGGGAUCGAAGUCGAGGUCAAUAUGCAAGUCGUGCAAACCACUUUGGUUAAGGUUGUAAAGCAAUUGGCUUGCGAUGAUAGCACAGAUUUUAUACUGACUCAUAACAGGGAAAUUCAAGCAAAAAGAGAUCUCUUGCUACAAACAAGAUAUGACAAUAGCGAUCAACAAAAUUGUAG